rnacentral:rRNA from 1 species
AUACGGAGGGUGCAAGCGUUGUUCGGAAUUACUGGGCGUAAAGCGCGCGUAGGUGGUCUGUUAUGUCAGAUGUGAAAGUCCACGGCUCAACCGUGGAAGUGCAUUUGAAACUGGCAGACUUGAGUACUGGAGGGGGUAGUGGAAUUCCCGGUGUAGAGGUGAAAUUCGUAGAUAUCGGGAGGAAUACCGGUGGCGAAGGCGACUACCUGGCCAGAUACUGACACUGAGGUGCGAAAGCGUGGGGAGCGAACAGGAUUAGAAACCCUGGUAGUCC